CUUCCAGUAGCACCUUAGAGACCAACUAAGUUUGUUAUUGGUAUGAGCUUCAGAUGCAACUGAAGAAAUGUGCAUGCACACAAAGGUCAUACCAAUAACAAACUUAGUUGGUCUCUAAGGUGCUACUGGAAG